GACGAACGCUGGCGGCGUGCCUAAUACAUGCAAGUCGAGCGGGUUUGUCCCUUCGGGGACAAGCUAGCGGCGGACGGGUGAGUAACACGUAGGUAACCUGCCCACAAGACUGGGAUAACGUCCGGAAACGGAUGCUAAUACCGGAUAAGUUGGCCCCUCGCAUGAGGGGCCAUGGAAAGGCGGAGCAAUCUGCCACUUGUGGAUGGACCUGCGGCGCAUUAGCUAGUUGGUGAGGUAAUGGCUCACCAAGGCGACGAUGCGUAGCCGACCUGAGAGGGUGAUCGGCCACACUGGGACUGAGACACGGCCCAGACUCCUACGGGAGGCAGCAGUAGGGAAUCUUCGGCAAUGGGCGAAAGCCUGACCGAGCAACGCCGCGUGAGUGAAGAAGGCUUUCGGGUCGUAAAACUCUGUUGCCAGAGAAGAACGUCGUGCGGAGUAACUGCCGUGCGAGUGACGGUAUCUGAGAA
rnacentral:rRNA from 1 species